ensembl:snoRNA
UGCAGCCUUGUCAAAUUCGGUGCUUCCUCUACAAUGGACCGCACUGGCCCAAAUGGCUGCCACAGUGAACCUGUAGUUCAUGGGCCCCACAUCCCUUUUGCAUGGGUGUUGGGGAUAAAUUUGUACUACAGACAAUU